UUUGGGCAAUUUGGCUACUUGCGCUGUUGAUAUCCAGCAGUGUUAGCACAAGUCCUUUGUAUUGCAACCCAAUAUUCGAAGGACCUCUGCUAAGACUAUUGGAAAUUAGCAGAAAUCCACAGCUGCAGAUGGCAUGAG
rnacentral:pre_miRNA from 1 species